rnacentral:rRNA from 1 species
UACAGAGGUCUCAAGCGUUGUUCGGAUUCAUUGGGCGUAAAGGGUGCGUAGGCGGCGAGGUAAGUCGGAUGUGAAAUCCCGGGGCUCAACCCCGGAACUGCAUUCGAUACUGCUUUGCUUGAGUACUGGAGAGGAGACUGGAAUUUACGGUGUAGCAGUGAAAUGCGUAGAUAUCGUAAGGAAGACCAGUGGCGAAGGCGAGUCUCUGGACAGUUACUGACGCUGAGGCACGAAAGCGUGGGGAGCAAACAGGA